UCUAAGUCCUUGUGCCGUUCUGCUGGACUUUGUACAUAUUUUAAUACGACCGAUGUAUAAAUGAAGAACGCUGUGUGUGUGUGUAUUAUGUAUGUAUGCGAGAGAGAGAGAGAGAGAGAGAGAUAAUUAAGCGUAGCUUCUCCGCCGCCACAUUCGAGCAUGAAUAUACAAUUAGACAGUCACUCACAUAUUUUCUACCAGUCAACUAGUUUGAAAGGCGGAAGGGUGAAGUAUAUAACAUAAUUGUCACCAACUCGUAAAGUAUUAAAUCAAAGGGCAUGUUUUUAUGCCCACAAAAUCAACUUCGAGAUACUCAAGCUCCACAAUUAACAGAUACGGAUUUUCUGAUGGCUUAGUCCUUAUGCCAGCUAUAAUUACAGGAGCCACUCCAUUCUUCACUGUCUGGAAGAUCGGCCUCUAUGAUAAUACUUAAAGUGAAAUUCAUUUGCUACAGCUUGGAAGGUACGAUUGCUUCAUAGUCUGGAAGCCUGAUAAAACCAGGAAAUUCUAUGUAUCAGUAAAACUUGGGCAGCACUUAAAUAAGUUUCAGCAACCAGGUGAUUCCUGGUUCAGUCCCACUGCACCACCGCACCUUGAGCAAACGUCUUCUAUUAUAGCCCCGGACUGACCAAUGCUUUGUGAGUUAAUUUGGUAGAAACUGUGUUGGAAGCCUGUCAUAUAUGUGGUGGAGGGUGCUGAAAAGUUCCUGGCUUUAAGGGUAUUGUGAAGGGUGUGGUUGGAGGACCAACCUUCUAAGUUCUUAUACAGAGCUUAGAUGAACUGAAGGACCACUGCGAUAUGUGUGGGAAUCUGAGAGGGGAAUAUAUUGAAUAAAAUCAUAAUUAACUGAUU